GUUUUAUAAACACACAUUGCACAACUGCCCUCUGUAACUCUGCAGAUAAAAGCAAGUUAAGGAAGACAUCUCACAGAAGGUUUUACUACCAAGCAAGAAAACGCUGUAUGGGAUUACGUAUGUCAAGUGAGAGCUGCAUGUCUUUUCUCCAGCUCUGCCAGCAGCUGAGCUGCAAACCGCUUGGGAGGAAGAGGACAAGGGAUUGCCAUUAAAAACACAUCGGAUUGCAAGGAAUCUGGAGAGUUGUCAUGGGGACACAGUUUUCUUGGGAUCAAGAGGCACGGUCUGCGGACAGGUAGAAUCCCCACUCGUGUGUGUGAAGCAGCAUGUGCCGUGACAUUGUGCAGCCACACAACAGCAGAGCUCUGAGUGCCAGCUGCUGGGAGCUGCCAUGGAGCUGCCUGCACCCAGCAGGUUUAUCAUAUGCUCGGCUCAUCCAUCUGUGUCUCAGUCUCCGGUGGACUCAUGAGUUUCAUCAAGAAAACCAUUUUCAAACCAGCAGACCAAAACAGAUCGUUUUCGACUCCCAGCCUCAUCGAGGCUUUGCAGUAGUUUUGCCUCGUGUUUACGAUUUAUGGAUGCAACAGAAACACAGAGCAGGCGGGAGUGGUCCAGAGAUUUCCCCAUUGCAGGGCUGUGAGAGCUUCCACAUUGGAGUUUCAUCUGGGGGAGUAACGCAUCCUCUGGGCACUGCAGGUUGA
rnacentral:lncRNA from 1 species